rnacentral:sRNA from 1 species
ACGAAGGCGGCAAAGGCGACGGAAUGGAGGAGGUGCCUCACGGUGAGCUCGCGGAGGGGGCGUGGGUGGCGGGGCGAAAGUGUCACGAGCUGCUCUAACUGUGGUCUUGUCUCUGCGCAGACUGUCCAGGGGCCGACAGCGCCCAGGCGGGCAGAGGGGCUUCAUGUCAGGGAUGCCCCAACCAGCGGCUGUGCGCUUCUGGAGCAGGGGCCACUCCAGACCCGGCUAUAGAGGAAAUCAAAGAGAAAAUGAAGACCGUAAAACACAAAAUCUUGGUAUUGUCUGGGAAAGGCGGUGUUGGGAAAAGCACAUUCAGCGCCCACCUUGCCCGUGGCCUAGCAGAGGAUGAAAACACACAGAUUGCUCUUCUAGACAUCGAUAUAUGUGGGCCAUCGAUUCCCAAGAUAAUGGGAUUGGAAGGAGAGCAGGUUCACCAGAGUGGCUCAGGCUGGUCUCCAGUGUACGUGGAAGACAACCUGGGGGUGAUGUCAGUGGGCUUCCUGCUCAGCAGUCCUGAUGACGCUGUUAUCUGGAGGGGACCCAAGAAAAACGGCAUGAUCAAGCAGUUCCUCCGAGAUGUGGACUGGGGAGAGGUUGACUACCUCAUUGUGGACACCCCACCUGGAACGUCGGAUGAACACCUCUCAGUCGUCCAGUACCUGGCCGCGGCACACAUCGAUGGAGCAGUGAUCAUCACCACUCCCCAGGAGGUGUCACUCCAGGAUGUCCGGAAAGAAAUCAACUUCUGCCGCAAGGUGAAGCUGCCCAUCAUCGGGGUGGUGGAGAACAUGAGUGGCUUCAUCUGUCCUAAAUGCAAGAAAGAAUCUCAGAUAUUCCCUCCCACAACCGGGGGCGCGGAGCUCAUGUGCCAGGACUUGGAGGUCCCUCUCCUCGGCAGAGUGCCCCUGGAUCCACUCAUAGCAUUAUAAAACACCAGGCAGCUUUUGCAGUGGCCGGAAGUGGUGAUGAGAGCUGCCCUCUGAGGCCCCUGGAGGCAGUUGGGCUGCAUGAAUGGAUGUGACUGGGGACAGGAGCUUGCAGCAGCCCAGGGCACAUCCAUUCCUGCCAGCCUGUACCUCUGCCACAGUUCAGCUCUGCCAAGAUGGGAUUGGUGGGCAGGACGUUUGUCAGGGGAAAUAUCUGUGGGAGAAAAUGACAAGGGAGAGCCUUAGCCCACGAUGAAGGAGCCAGAGAAGGAAUAUAUCAGCCCU